GAUACCUUUUUUUCAGAAAGCGGUAUCAAUUUCCCGUGCGUAAUAUUACGGGAAAUUGAUACCGCUUUCUGAAAAAAGGUAUCAAUU